GAUGAACGCUGGCGGCGUGCCUAAUACAUGCAAGUCGAGCGAACAGACGAGGAGCUUGCUCCUCUGACGUUAGCGGCGGACGGGUGAGUAACACGUGGAUAACCUACCUAUAAGACUGGGAUAACUUCGGGAAACCGGCGCUAAUACCGGAUAAUAUAUUGAACCGCAUGGUUCAAUAGUGAAGGACGGUUUUGCUGUCACUUAUAGAUGGAUCCGCGCCGCAUUAGCUAGUUGGUAAGGUAACGGCUUACCAAGGCAACGAUGCGUAGCCGACCUGAGAGGGUGAUCGGCCACACUGGAACUGAGACACGGUCCAGACUCCUACGGGAGGCAGCAGUAGGGAAUCUUCCGCAAUGGGCGAAAGCCUGACGGAGCAACGCCGCGUGAGUGAUGAAGGACUUCGGAUCGUAAAACUCUGUUAUUAGGGAAGAACAAAUGUGUAAGUAACUAUGCACGUCUUGACGGUACCUAAUCAGAAAGCCACGGCUAACUACGUG
rnacentral:rRNA from 1 species